AGGGUUACCAUCUCCUUCAGCUCGCCCAGU
rnacentral:piRNA from 1 species